rnacentral:sRNA from 1 species
UGAAUACUUGCCUAUGGGUGGCCUCACU